AAAUCCAAAGAUCACAUGUUUCCCACUUCAUUCAAGUUUCCAAAGAAGGCUCCACCUUCCUCAUUAGUGCAUGGGCAAUCUCUUGGACUUAAUGUACAACAUCUUGAGGAUCUUGGACAGCUAUGAAAAGACCAAAGUGCCCCCACUUGCCUUCCAUCACAUGCAACUCGUUUUUGCCUUCAUACAUGCACAAAUAAGGCACAUGCAACACCAAGGGCACUUUAGACAGCCUCUAAAAGUCUCCUGGACUUCCAUGAAACCCUAGGCAGCC
rnacentral:lncRNA from 1 species